UACGUAGGGCGCAAGCGUUAUCCGGAAUUAUUGGGCGUAAAGAGCUCGUAGGCGGUUUGUCGCGUCUGCCGUGAAAGUCCGGGGCUUAACCCCGAGCCUGCAGUGGAUACGGGCAGACUAGAGGUAGGUAGGGGAGAAUGGAAUUCCCGGUGUAGCGGUGAAAUGCGCAGAUAUCGGGAGGAACACCGGUGGCGAAGGCGGUUCUCUGGGCCUUACCUGACGCUGAGGAGCGAAAGCGUGGGGAGCGAACAGG
rnacentral:rRNA from 1 species